rnacentral:rRNA from 1 species
UACGUAGGGGGCAAGCGUUUGUCCGGAAUUAUUGGGCGUAAAGAGCGCGUAGGCGGUCCGGUAAGUCGGUUGUGAAAGUCGGGGGCUCAACCCUCGGAUGCCGGUGGAUACUGUCGGGCUAGAGUGCGGAAGAGGCGAGUGGAAUUCCUGGUGUAGCGGUGAAAUGCGUAGAUAUCGAGAGGAACACCUGCGGCGAAGGCGGGUUGCUGGGCUGAUACUGACGCUGAGGCGCGAAAGCCAGGGGAGCGAACGGG